rnacentral:rRNA from 1 species
UGGGGAAUAUUGCACAAUGGGGGAAACCCUGAUGCAGCGACGCCGCGUGAACGAAGAAGGUAUUCGUAUCGUAAAGUUCUGUCCUAUGGGAAGAUAAUGACAGUACCAUAGAAGAAAGCUCCGGCUAAAUACGUGCCAGCAGCCGCGGUAAUACGUAUGGAGCGAGCGUUGUCCGGAAUUAUUGGGCGUAAAGGGUACGCAGGCGGUUUAAUAAGUCGAAUGUUAAAGAUCGGGGCUCAACCCCGCAAAGCAUUGGAAACUGAUAAACUUGAGUAGUGGAGAGGAAAGUGGAAUUCCUAGUGUAGUGGUGAAAUACGUAGAUAUUAGGAGGAAUACCAGUAGCGAAGGCGACUUUCUGGACACAAACUGACGCUAAGGUACGAAAGCGUGGGGAGCAAACAGG